GAACAUUGCAAUCGAAGAAGAUGGAGAGAGCGCGAUCAACCAGCACAACAACUUCAGGACCUUUGUGCAGGCUCUGAUGCUCCUUUUUAGGAGUGCGACAGGAGAAGCGUGGCAUGAGAUCAUGCUGGCGUGUCUGGGGGGUAAGGAGUGUGACCCCCUGUCAGGGAAUGCAGAGCCAGAGUGCGGCAGCCAGGUUGCCUACCUCUACUUUGUCUCCUUCAUCUUCUUCUGUUCGUUUUUGAUGCUGAAUUU